GACAGAGGGUGCAAACGUUGUUCGGAAUUACUGGGCGUAAAGCGCGUGUAGGCGGCUCUGUAAGUCGGGUGUGAAAUCCCACGGCUCAACCGUGGAAGUGCACUCGAAACUACAGGGCUAGAGUCCUGGAGAGGAAGGUGGAAUGCUUGGUGUAGAGGUGAAAUUCGUAGAUAUCAAGCAGAACACCUGCGGCGAAGGCGGCCUUCUGGACGGUGACUGACGCUGAGACGCGAAAGCGUGGGGAGCAAACAGG
rnacentral:rRNA from 1 species